UCAAGGCGACAGCUCUCAGUGGAAAUAUCCCAUUGGUUCAUUGUCCUAAAGUGGAUCCCGGCACUGGCACUUUGGUCCACAGCAAGAAGGUCAACAACAUCACGCUGAUCGGAGACUCUGCAAGACUUCAGUGCAACUACGGCUCCGUCGUAAAGAACGGCGCUAAAUCUGCUCAGUGCGUUCCUGAUGCCAAGGGAAACGCUAUGUGGAGCCAGUCACUUGGGAAAUGUGAACCUAUCCCUGGAUAUUUGGGUUGCUUUAGAGACGGUUACUAUAGCAACAAUCUGGUGAACAUCUUUAGCAGCAAGAACAGAUGGAGGGACUACGAAAUGACCACCA